AAGGGGAAGAGCUCAAAUUUGAAAUCUAGUAGCCUUCGGCUGCUCGAGUUGUAAUCUAGAGAAGUGUUUUCCGUGCCGGCCCAUGUACAAGUCCCUUGGAACAGGGCGUCAUAGAGGGUGAGAAUCCCGUCCUUGACAUGGACCCCCGGUGCUCUGUGAUACACUUUCAACGAGUCGAGUUGUUUGGGAAUGCAGCUCAAAAUGGGUGGUGAAUUCCAUCUAAAGCUAAAUAUUGGCGAGAGACCGAUAGCGAACAAGUACCGUGAGGGAAAGAUGAAAAGCACUUUGGAAAGAGAGUUAAACAGUACGUGAAAUUGUUGAAAGGGAAACGAUUGAAGUCAGUCAUGCUCUUUGGUAUUUAUAUCAUUGAGUGGGGUCAACAUCAGUUUUGAUCGAUGGAUAAAGGCACUAGGAAGGUAGCACUCUCGGGUGAACUUAUAGCCUGGCGUCAUAUACAUUGAUUGGGACUGAGGAACGCAGCAUGCCUUUAUGGCCGGGAUUCGUCCACGUACAUGCUUAGGAUG
rnacentral:rRNA from 1 species